rnacentral:rRNA from 1 species
UACGUAGGGGGCAAGCGUUGUCCGGAUUUACUGGGCGUAAAGAGCGCGUAGGCGGAGAGUUAAGCGUGCCUUGAAAGCCCCCGGCUCAACCGGGGAAGGUGGGUGCGAACUGGCUUUCUUGAGGGCGAUAGAGGGGGGCGGAAUUCCUGGUGUAGCGGUGAAAUGCGUAGAGAUCAGGAGGAACACCCGUGGCGAAGGCGGCCCCCUGGGUCGGCCCUGACGCUGAGGCGCGAAAGCGUGGGGAGCGAACGGGAUUAGAUACCCCGGUAGUCCACGCCGUAAACGAUGGUCACUAGGUGUUUGUGGUAUCGACCCCGCAAGUGCCACAGCUAACGCAAGAAGUGACCCGCCUGGGGAGUACGGCCGCAAGGUUGAA